rnacentral:rRNA from 1 species
AUUGAACGCUGGCGGCAGGCCUAACACAUGCAAGUCGAGCGUGCGGCGGACGGGUGAGUUAUGUAUGGGGAUCUGCGAGAUAGAGGGGGAAAAAUACUGGAAACGGUGGCUAACCCCGCAUACUAUCGGAUGCACACAUAUGGGAUUAGAUAGUAGGGGGGGUAAAGGCUCACAUAGGCGACGAUCUCUAGCUGGUCUGAGAGGAUGAUCAGCCACACUGGGACUGAGACACGGCCCAGACUCCUACGGGAGGCAGCAGUGGGGAAUAUUGCACAAUGGGCGCAAGCCUGAUACAGCCAUGCCGCGUGUAUGAAGAAGGCCUUCGGGUUGUAAAGUACUUUCAGCGGGGAGGCGUUACCCGCAGAAGAAGCACCGGCUAACUCCGUGCCAGCAGCCGCGGUAAUAC